rnacentral:rRNA from 1 species
AGCAGCCCAGAGUCUGAAUCAGCUUGUGUGUUAGUGGAACGGUCUGGAAAGUCCGACGGUACAGGGUGAUAGUCCCGUACACCAAAAUGCACAGGUUGUGAACUCGAAGAGUAGGGCGGGACACGUGGUAUCCUGUCUGAAUAUGGGGGGACCAUCCUCCAAGGCUAAAUACUCCUGACUGACCGAUAGUGAACCAGUACCGUGAGGGAAAGGCGAAAAGAACCCCGGCGAGGGGAGUGAAAAAGAACCUGAAACCGUGUACGUACAAGCAGUGGGAGCACCUUCGGGUGUGACUGCGUACCUUUUGUAUAAUGGGUCAGCGACUUAUAUUCUGUAGCAAGGUUAACCGUAUAGGGGAGCCGCAGGGAAACCGAGUCUUAACUGGGCGUUAAGUUGCAGGGUAUAGACCCGAAACCCGGUGAUCUAGCCAUGGGCAGGUUGAAGGUUGGGUAACACUAACUGGAGGACCGAACCGACUAAUGUUGAAAAAUUAGCGGAUGACUUGUGGCUGGGGGUGAAAGGCCAAUCAAACCGGGAGAUAGCUGGUUCUCCCCGAAAGCUAUUUAGGUAGCGCCUCGUGAAUUCAUCUUCGGGGGUAGAGCACUGUUUCGGCUAGGGGGUCAUCCCGACUUACCAACCCGAUGCAAACUACGAAUACCGAAGAAUGUUAUCACGGGAGACACACGGCGGGUGCUAACGUCCGUCGUGAAGAGGGAAACAACCCAGACCGCCAGCUAAGGUCCCAAAGUCAUGGUUAAGUGGGAAACGAUGUGGGAAGGCACAGACAGCCAGGAUGUUGGCUUAGAAGCAGCCAUCAUUUAAAGAAAGCGUAAUAGCUCACUGGUCGAGUCGGCCUGCGCGGAAGAUGUAACGGGGCUAAACCAUGCACCGAAGCUGCGGCAGCGACACUAUGUGUUGUUGGGUAGGGGAGCGUUCUGUAAGCCUGCGAAGGUGACCUGUGAGGGUUGCUGGAGGUAUCAGAAGUGCGAAUGCUGACAUAAGUAACGAUAAAGCGGGUGAAAAGCCCGCUCGCCGGAAGACCAAGGGUUCCUGUCCAACGUUAAUCGGGGCAGGGUGAGUCGACCCCUAAGGCGAGGCCGAAAGGCGUAGUCGAUGGGAAACAGGUUAAUAUUCCUGUACUUGGUGUUACUGCGAAGGGGGGACGGAGAAGGCUAUGUUAGCCGGGCGACGGUUGUCCCGGUUUAAGCAUGUAGGCUGGUUAUCCAGGCAAAUCCGGAUAAUCAAGGCUGAGGUGUGAUGACGAGGCACUACGGUGCUGAAGUAACAAAUGCCCUGCUUCCAGGAAAAGCCUCUAAGCAUCAGGUAACAUCAAAUCGUACCCCAAACCGACACAGGUGGUCAGGUAGAGAAUACCAAGGCGCUUGAGAGAACUCGGGUGAAGGAACUAGGCAAAAUGGUGCCGUAACUUCGGGAGAAGGCACGCUGGUGUGUAGGUGAAGCCCCUGCGGGUGGAGCUGAGACCAGUCGAAGAUACCAGCUGGCUGCAACUGUUUAUUAAAAACACAGCACUGUGCAAACACGAAAGUGGACGUAUACGGUGUGACGCCUGCCCGGUGCCGGAAGGUUAAUUGAUGGGGUUAUCCGUAAGGAGAAGCUCUUGAUCGAAGCCCCGGUAAACGGCGGCCGUAACUAUAACGGUCCUAAGGUAGCGAAAUUCCUUGUCGGGUAAGUUCCGACCUGCACGAAUGGCGUAAUGAUGGCCAGGCUGUCUCCACCCGAGACUCAGUGAAAUUGAACUCGCUGUGAAGAUGCAGUGUACCCGCGGCAAGACGGAAAGACCCCGUGAACCUUUACUAUAGCUUGACACUGAACAUUGAGCCUUGAUGUGUAGGAUAGGUGGGAGGCUUUGAAGCGUGGACGCCAGUCUGCGUGGAGCCAACCUUGAAAUACCACCCUUUAAUGUUUGAUGUUCUAACGUUGGCCCCUUACCGGGGUUGCGGACAGUGUCUGGUGGGUAGUUUGACUGGGGCGGUCUCCUCCCAAAGCGUAACGGAGGAGCACGAAGGUUAGCUAAUCCUGGUCGGACAUCAGGAGGUUAGUGCAAUGGCAUAAGCUAGCUUGACUGCGAGCGUGACGGCGCGAGCAGGUGCGAAAGCAGGUCAUAGUGAUCCGGUGGUUCUGAAUGGAAGGGCCAUCGCUCAACGGAUAAAAGGUACUCCGGGGAUAACAGGCUGAUACCGCCCAAGAGUUCAUAUCGACGGCGGUGUUUGGCACCUCGAUGUCGGCUCAUCACAUCCUGGGGCUGAAGUAGGUCCCAAGGGUAUGGCUGUUCGCCAUUUAAAGUGGUACGCGAGCUGGGUUUAGAACGUCGUGAGACAGUUCGGUCCCUAUCUGCCGUGGGCGCUGGAGAAUUGAGGGGGGCUGCUCCUAGUACGAGAGGACCGGAGUGGACGCAUCACUGGUGUUCGGGUUGUCAUGCCAAUGGCACUGCCCGGUAGCUAAAUGCGGAAGAGAUAAGUGCUGAAAGCAUCUAAGCACGAAACUUGCCCCGAGAUGAGUUCUCCCUGAGACUUUAAGUCUCCUGAAGGAACGUUGAAGACGACGACGUUGAUAGGCCGGGUGUGUAAGCGCAGCGAUGCGUUGAGCUAACCGGUACUAAUGAACCGUGAGGCUUAACCUU